CGUUGGAGAGUUUGAUCCUGGCUCAGGACGAACGCUGGCGGCGCGCCUAAUCCAUGCAAGUCGAGCGACGCAUUCCUUAGCCCGUAAGGGCGGGUUUGACGGAGCGGCGAACGGGUGCGUAACACGUGACCAAUCUGCCCCGAAGACCGGGAUAGCCCGGGGAAACCCGGAUUAAUACCGGAUGAUCUCAUCAUCACGCAUGUGGAGAUGAGCAAAGGUUCAGGCGCUUCGGGAUGAGGUCGCGGCCCAUCAGCUUGUUGGUGAGGUAACGGCUCACCAAGGCAAUGACGGGUAGCUGGUCUGAGAGGACGAUCAGCCACACUGGAACUGAGAUACGGUCCAGACUCCUACGGGAGGCAGCAGGAGGGAAUCUUGCGCAAUGGGCGAAAGCCUGACGCAGCGACGCCGCGUGGGGGAUGAAGGCCUUAGGGUUGUAAACCCCUUUCACGAGGGAAGAAACUGACGGUACCUCGAGAAGAAGCCCCGGCCAACUACGUGCCAGCAGCCGCGGUAAUACGUAGGGGGCGAGCGUUGUCCGGAUUUAUUGGGCGUAAAGGGCUCGUAGGCGGCUUGGCAAGUCGGCCGUGAAAACCCAGGGCUCAACCCUGGGACGCCGGUCGAUACUGCCAUGGCUAGGGUCCGGUAGAGGGGAAUGGAAUUCCCGGUGUAGCGGUGAAAUGCGCAGAUAUCGGGAGGAACACCAGUAGCGAAGGCGGUUCCCUGGGCCGGCACCGACGCUGAGGAGCGAAAGCGUGGGGAGCAAACAGGAUUAGAUACCCUGGUAGUC
rnacentral:rRNA from 1 species